AGUUUACCCAUGUUUGAGUACCUGCUCCAGGAUAGUUAUAUAGAUGAGGGCCAAUUUCUGUUUCUUAAUAUUAAGCACAUUUUAACUUCUAAGAAACUAUCCUUGCAGUUCACAUCAG
rnacentral:lncRNA from 1 species